rnacentral:rRNA from 1 species
CAAUAGCGUAUAUUAAAGUUGUUGCAGUUAAAAAGCUCGUAGUUGGAUUUGUGGCGUACGGUGUGUUCCGGGCACUUGUUGUCUGAGUAACCUGCUGUUGCCAUCCUUGGGUGGAACCUGUGUGGCAUUAGGUUGUCGGGCAGGGGAUGCCCAUCAUUUACUGUGAAAAAAUUAGAGUGUUCAAAGCAGGCUUAUGCCGUUGAAUAUAUUAGCAUGGAAUAAUGAGAUAGGACUUUUUUGCUAUUUUGUUGGUUUGCGCAAAGAGGUAAUGAUUAAUAGGGACAGUUGGGGGUAUUCGUAUUCCAUUGUCAGAGGUGAAAUUCUUGGAUUUUUGGAAGACGAACUACUGCGAAAGCAUUUACCAAGGAUGUUUUCAUUAA